rnacentral:rRNA from 1 species
GGUUAAGUUAGAAAGGGCGCACGGUGGAUGCCUUGGCACUAGGAGCCGAUGAAGGACGGGACGAACACCGAUAUGCUUCGGGGAGCUGUAAGCAAGCUUUGAUCCGGAGAUUUCCGAAUGGGGAAACCCACCACUCGUAAUGGAGUGGUAUCCAUAUCUGAAUACAUAGGAUAUGAGAAGGCAGACCCGGGGAACUGAAACAUCUAAGUACCCGGAGGAAGAGAAAGCAAAUGCGAUUCCCUGAGUAGCGGCGAGCGAAACGGGAUCAGCCCAAACCAAGAGGCUUGCCUCUUGGGGUUGUAGGACACUCUGUACGGAGUUACAAAGGAACGAGGUAGAUGAAGAGGUCUGGAAAGGCCCGCCAUAGGAGGUAACAGCCCUGUAGUCAAAACUUCGUUCUCUCCUGAGUGGAUCCUGAGUACGGCGGAACACGUGAAAUUCCGUCGGAAUCCGGGAGGACCAUCUCCCAAGGCUAAAUACUCCCUAGUGACCGAUAGUGAACCAGUACCGUGAGGGAAAGGUGAAAAGCACCCCGGAAGGGGAGUGAAAUAGAUCCUGAAACCGUGUGCCUACAAGUAGUCAGAGCCCGUUAACGGGUGAUGGCGUGCCUUUUGUAGAAUGAACCGGCGAGUUACGAUCCCGUGCAAGGUUAAGCAGAAGAUGCGGAGCCGCAGCGAAAGCGAGUCUGAAUAGGGCGAAUUGAGUACGUGGUCGUAGACCCGAAACCAGGUGAUCUACCCAUGUCCAGGGUGAAGUUCAGGUAACACUGAAUGGAGGCCCGAACCCACGCACGUUGAAAAGUGCGGGGAUGAGGUGUGGGUAGGGGUGAAAUGCCAAUCGAACCUGGAGAUAGCUGGUUCUCUCCGAAAUAGCUUUAGGGCUAGCCUCAAGGUAAGAGUCUCGGAGGUAGAGCACUGAUUGGACUAGGGGCCCCUACCGGGUUACCGAAUUCAGUCAAACUCCGAAUGCCGAUGACUUAUCCUUGGGAGUCAGACUGCGAGUGAUAAGAUCCGUAGUCGAAAGGGAAACAGCCCAGACCGCCAGCUAAGGUCCCAAAGUAUACGUUAAGUGGAAAAGGAUGUGGAGUUGCUUAGACAACCAGGAUGUUGGCUUAGAAGCAGCCACCAUUUAAAGAGUGCGUAAUAGCUCACUGGUCGAGUGACUCUGCGCCGAAAAUGUACCGGGGCUAAACGUAUCACCGAAGCUGCGGACUGUUCUUCGAACAGUGGUAGGAGAGCGUUCUAAGGGCUGUGAAGCAAGACCGGAAGGACUUGUGGAGCGCUUAGAAGUGAGAAUGCCGGUAUGAGUAGCGAAAGAGGGGUGAGAAUCCCCUCCACCGAAUGCCUAAGGUUUCCUGAGGAAGGCUCGUCCGCUCAGGGUUAGUCGGGACCUAAGCCGAGGCCGAAAGGCGUAGGCGAUGGACAACAGGUUGAUAUUCCUGUACCACCUCCUCACCAUUUGAGCAAUGGGGGGACGCAGGAGGAUAGGGUAAGCGCGGUAUUGGAUAUCCGCGUCCAAGCAGUUAGGCUGGGAAAUAGGCAAAUCCGUUUCCCGUAAGGCUGAGCUGUGAUGGCGAGCGAAAUUUAGUAGCGAAGUUCCUGAUUCCACACUGCCAAGAAAAGCCUCUAGCGAGGUGAGAGGUGCCCGUACCGCAAACCGACACAGGUAGGCGAGGAGAGAAUCCUAAGGUGAUCGAGAGAACUCUCGUUAAGGAACUCGGCAAAAUGACCCCGUAACUUCGGGAGAAGGGGUGCUCUGUUAGGGUGCAAGCCCGAGAGAGCCGCAGUGAAUAGGCCCAGGCGACUGUUUAGCAAAAACACAGGUCUCUGCGAAGCCGUAAGGCGAAGUAUAGGGGCUGACGCCUGCCCGGUGCUGGAAGGUUAAGAGGAGCGCUUAGCGUAAGCGAAGGUGCGAAUUGAAGCCCCAGUAAACGGCGGCCGUAACUAUAACGGUCCUAAGGUAGCGAAAUUCCUUGUCGGGUAAGUUCCGACCCGCACGAAAGGCGCAACGAUCUGGGCACUGUCUCAACGAGAGACUCGGUGAAAUUAUAGUACCUGUGAAGAUGCAGGUUACCCGCGACAGGACGGAAAGACCCCGUGGAGCUUUACUGCAGCCUGAUAUUGAAUGUUGGUACAGCUUGUACAGGAUAGGUAGGAGCCUUGGAAACCGGAGCGCCAGCUUCGGUGGAGGCAUCGGUGGGAUACUACCCUGGCUGUAUUGACCUUCUAACCCGCCGCCCUUAUCGGGCGGGGAGACAGUGUCAGGUGGGCAGUUUGACUGGGGCGGUCGCCUCCUAAAAGGUAACGGAGGCGCCCAAAGGUUCCCUCAGAAUGGUUGGAAAUCAUUCGCAGAGUGUAAAGGCACAAGGGAGCUUGACUGCGAGACCUACAAGUCGAGCAGGGACGAAAGUCGGGCUUAGUGAUCCGGUGGUUCCGCAUGGAAGGGCCAUCGCUCAACGGAUAAAAGCUACCCCGGGGAUAACAGGCUUAUCUCCCCCAAGAGUCCACAUCGACGGGGAGGUUUGGCACCUCGAUGUCGGCUCAUCGCAUCCUGGGGCUGUAGUCGGUCCCAAGGGUUGGGCUGUUCGCCCAUUAAAGCGGUACGCGAGCUGGGUUCAGAACGUCGUGAGACAGUUCGGUCCCUAUCCGUCGCGGGCGCAGGAAAUUUGAGAGGAGCUGUCCUUAGUACGAGAGGACCGGGAUGGACGCACCGCUGGUGUACCAGUUGUUCUGCCAAGGGCAUCGCUGGGUAGCUAUGUGCGGACGGGAUAAGUGCUGAAAGCAUCUAAGCAUGAAGCCCCCCUCAAGAUGAGAUUUCCCAUUCCGCAAGGAAGUAAGAUCCCUGAAAGAUGAUCAGGUUGAUAGGUCUGAGGUGGAAGUGUGGCGACACAUGGAGCUGACAGAUACUAAUCGAUCGAGGACUUAACCUA